AGCAGCCGCGGUAAUUCCAGCUCCAAUAGCGUAUAUUAAAGUUGUUGCAGUUAAAAAGCUCGUAGUUGAAUUUCGGGGUCAGUAGGUUGGUCAUGCCUUCGGUAUGUACUGGUCUCACUGAUUCCUCCCUCUUGAAGAACUGUAAUGUCAUUAAUUUGGUGUUGCGGGGAAACAGGACUGUUACUUUGAAAAAAUUAGAGUGUUUAAAGCAGGCUCACGCUUGAAUACAUUAGCAUGGAAUAAUGAAAUAGGACGAUCGAUCCUAUUUUGUUGGUUUCUAGGAUUGACGUAAUGAUUAAUAGGGAUAGUUGGGGGCAUUAGUAUUCAAUUGUCAGAGGUGAAAUUCUUGGAUUUAUUGAAGACUAACUACUGCGAAAGCAUUUGCCAAGGAUGUUUUCAUUAAUCAAGAACGAAAGUUAGGGGAUCGAAGACGAUCAGAUACCGUCGUAG
rnacentral:rRNA from 1 species